rnacentral:lncRNA from 1 species
UGUUGGUUGGCUGCUGUGGGUGGAUUAAAUGGGAGGAUUCUGAAAUAAAUCAUACUUGUUUCUUUCAAUAAAUGCAGGUUGCAAAUGAAAGAAGAUGAGGGAUAAAUGCCAAGGUUUACCUUAAAGCUUCUGGCAGUGAAUCAAUGUUCUUUCUUACUCUUAGAUCUUUGGGUAUUAUCUACACUGGAAUGGGUGGAACAAAUUUGUGUUGCUGCCUUUGUAAUUGCAGGUGAAUAAUGGAGGAAUGUAGAUGAAUGAAAGCCAAAUCUCACCUUGGAGUUUCUGGCAGCAACUAGACUAAUUACUUCCCUUGGUUUGCUGGUGAAUAAGGGAGUGUUUUGGCUGAAGUUGUAGGCUAGGAAGGCAAAGGGGCGAUGGAGUGCACUUGAGUGUGUUAAGGAG